rnacentral:rRNA from 1 species
AUUGAACGCUGGCGGCAGGCUUAACACAUGCAAGUCGAGCGAGCGGCGGACGGGUGAGUAAUGUCUGGGAAACUGCCUGAUGGAGGGGGAUAACUACUGGAAACGGUAGCUAAUACCGCCUACCAUCUGAUGUCCCCAGAUGGGAUUAGCUAGUAGGUGGGGUAAUGGCGCACCUCGGCGACGAUCCCUAGGUGGUCUGAGAGGAUGACCAGCCACACUGGAACGGAGACACGGUCCAGACGCCUACGGGAGGCAGCAGUGGGGAAUAUGGCACAAUGGGCGCGAGCCUGAUGCAGCCAUGCCGCGUGUGUGAAGAAGGCCUUCGGGUUGUAAAGCACUUUUAGCGGGGAGGCGUUACCCGCAGAAGAAGCACCGGCUAACUCCGUGCCAGCAGCCGCGGUAAUAC